rnacentral:lncRNA from 1 species
UUCAAACUGACUUUUAAAAACAUCUCUUUAUGAUUUUUAUCAUAAAGACUUUUAACUAAAAGACUUACUAUGAUGAAAAGAAAUCACUUUUAAAAAUGUACCCUGCCUUGAAUAUAAAACAAUGUAGAAAAGUCUGGACUUAGACAAAGGCAAAUAGUAUAUAUGUAUAUGUGUGUGGUAUAUUAUAUGUUUGGUAGCAGAAAAAGAGGGUGUUGCAUUUUCACAUUCAAAAGAAUACUUUGCUUUUUGAAGGUAUUGACUUUAGGGUUCUUUUAAUAAUAAUCUCCUAAUGCUUUAAAUAUAUAAUUUGAUUGUAGGAAUUGGUUUACAGUAUAGAACUUUUCUUGAAUACAUCUCUUAUAUAAAGUGAAACAUAAUUAUAUUUACUUAUUAUUGUAGAUAA